rnacentral:tRNA from 1 species
GUCUAUGUAGAUUAUUUGAUGUAAAUUAUGAUGCUGUUAACUUCAAGAAGGUGUUAAUUACCCGUAGUCG